rnacentral:rRNA from 1 species
UACGAAGGGGGCUAGCGUUGUUCGGAAUCACUGGGCGUAAAGGGCGCGUAGGCGGCUUUGUAAGUCGGGGGGUGAAAGCCCUGUGGCUCAACCACAGAAUUGCCUUCGAUACUGCAUGGCUUGAGACCGGAAGAGGUUAGUGGAACUGCGAGUGUAGAGGUGAAAUUCGUAGAUAUUCGCAAGAACACCAGUGGCGAAGGCGGCUGACUGGUCCGGUUCUGACGCUGAGGCGCGAAAGCGUGGGGAGCAAACAGG